UCAUAACUAAUUCACAUCAAAGGCAAUUCUUUAAUUUGAGUUACAGAGUUUGCCUUUUCUUUUCUUAACCCUUGCUUGUUUCCCUAGAAAAAGGAUUUCCCACCCAUUUUGUGAUAAAACCCUGCUGCUGAAAACCCAUUUUGCGCUUCUUCUCAAAUCUUCUCGAUCAAUCUUCUCCUCAAAUCUUCUCAAUCAAUCUUCUAAUUGCUCUUUUCUUCUCAAUCUUCUUCUCGUUGCUAUUAGGGCAAAAGGUUUUAGGGUUUAAUCAAUCUAUCUUCUUUUUCUUGUGAUUAGCAAACACUGACAUUCCAGCAUCGGUCAGCUCUCGGCAAGCUUGGAGCUUCAAGCGCCUGAGAUUUCGGCACUUGAGAUAUAUUAAAACAAGUGCAACGUCCCCGAUGCCGACGGAUCAGAAGAAAGAAUUAACUGCAGUAUGAUAGGUUUCAGAGUUGGCAGUUCAGAAGUGUUUUGUUCAGAGUUAAUUGAUUGUUGAAUGCAGAAUUGUUUGCUGAUUGCAUUUGCAGAAUUGUUUGUUUGUUGGUGAAGGGUUGAUUGAUAAUUGAAUGUAGAAUUUUUUGCUGUUGCACUGCAGAAUUGCAGAAAUUUUUUGCUGUGCAGAAUUGUAGAAUUGUUUGUUUGCAAAAUUGCAGGAUUGCUGCUGUUGAAAUGCAGAAUUGUCUGCAUAAAUUGCAAAAUUAUUUGUUGUUGAAAUGAUGAAUUAUCUGCACAAAGUGCAAAAUUGGUUGCUGUGUAGAAUUGUAGAAUUGCAGGAUUGCUGUUGUUGAAAUGCAGAAUUGUCUACACAAAUUGCAAAAUUAUUUGUUGUUGAAAUGCAAAAUUUUCUGCACAAAGUGCAGAAUUGGUUGCUGUUGAAAUGCAGAAUUGUUUGCAGAAUUGCAAAAUUUGCUUGGAAGAGCUGAGUUAGUUUAAUCCAAGAAGAGUUGGUGGUUUACUGCUAUCCAGAAUUCUUUGCUGUACAGAAAUUGUUUUGCAAUUGGUUGCUGAUCAGAUUUGCAGAUUUUUACAAAGUUUUCUUUUACUUUUUCUUUCUGCAUCCUUUGAAACUUUCAUACGGUCACGUUUGAGAUUUGAUUUGGCAUUGAGGGAGAGAUGGUGACAACUCUGUCCCUUGAUUCUGAGCCAACAACAACAUACUAGAGAGCAUCUUUUGCAAUCACCGGAGCUAAGAGACUGGAAAAUGCAAGCUAAGCACUCUUCGGGCAGAUUUGAGAUGAAAUCAGACACUUCAUCGACAUGUUCAUGUGCAGCAGUGUUGUACUUUUUUCUUUCUCAAAAUUUCUUUGAUUUGCAGGAGUUCGAGCCCACGAAAGUUGAGUUGCUAGAAGAUGACAAGAUUUUGUUGUUGGAGUUUUUCGAGAACCUUCCAGUUAGGAUGGGUGUUUUGGCUAUUGGAUUUGAGGGAAUGUUAAAUGAAAAAAUGAAAGAAUUCUAUAGAAGUAUGGGCAUUGAGAGCGUGGUAGAUAAGAGCACAGACAAGUCAUCUGAUGGUGUGCAUGACACUAUGUGUACUACUGUGAGAUGGCAGUAGUGUGGAUGCAAAACCAGCUCAAGAGAAAUACGACAGAAGAACAAAUCUUGGAUUAUGUGAAUCAGGUUUAUUAGCCUUCUUAUUCACAUUCAGGGGAAAAGUGGCCUUGCUUCAAGCUCAUGCCAUAGAUUAUAUUGCAGCUUUGUGACUGACUGUCCAGUCAAAAUGGAGAAUCGGCUGUUGAGUGUAGCAGUCUAUCUUCCAUGCCCAAUGUGUCAUUCACCAUUGGUGGUAAAGUGUUUCACCUUUCACUAGAUCAGGUUGUGAAAAUACAAGAGUACUUUUUAGGUAAAGCACAAUUUGGAAUGGAAGAUGGUAUGCAUGAUGGUUUUUGUUGUUAGAAUUUUUUGAAUGAUUGGAAGGUAUUAACUAUUGCUCAUAGUUAAUUUUCCAAUCAUCUAGGUAUUAUAAUGUAAAAAUGAUAGGUGCAUAUUUGUUAG